rfam:Hepatospora eriocheir strain GB1 NODE_1598, whole genome shotgun sequence.
UUCUUCAUAGUGUAGUGGUCAUCAUACUAGCUUGUCACGCUAGUGACCUGGGUUCGAUUCCCAGUGAGGAAG